rnacentral:rRNA from 1 species
AUUGAACGCUGGCGGCAGGCCUAACACAUGCAAGUCGAGCGAGCGGCGGACGGGUGAGUAAUGUAUGGGGACUGCCCGAUAGAGGGGGAUCACUACUGGAAACGGUGGCUAAUCCCGCAUACUAUCGGAUAACCCAUAUGGUAUUAGCUAGUAGGUGGGGUAACGGCUCACCUAGGCGAAGAGCUCUAGCUGGUCUGAGAGGAUGAUCAGUCACACUGUGACUGAGACACGGCCCAGACUCCUACGGAGGCAGCAGUGGGGAAUAUUGCACAAUGGGCGCAAGCCUGAUGCAGCCAUGCCGCGUGUAUGAAGAAGGCCGUAGGGUUGUAAAGUACUUUCAGCGGGGAGGCGUUACCCGCAGAAGAAGCACCGGCUAACUCCGGGCCAGCAGCCGCGGUAAUUC